GACAGAGGGUGCAAACGUUGUUCGGAAUUACUGGGCGUAAAGCGCGUGUAGGCGGCCAAGCACGUCGGGUGUGAAAUCCCGGGGCUCAACCCCGGAACUGCAUUCGAAACUGCAUGGCUAGAGUCUCGGAGAGGGAAGCGGAAUUCUGGGUGUAGAGGUGAAAUUCGUAGAUAUCCAGAGGAACACCGGUGGCGAAGGCGGCUUCCUGGACGAGUUACUGACGCUGAGACGCGAAAGCGUGGGGAGCAAACAGG
rnacentral:misc_RNA from 1 species